UGGGCUGGUCGCAAGACCCGGGUCCACCAAAUGGGGGGAAAGACCCCC
rnacentral:sRNA from 12 species